UCUUUGCUGACGAGUGGCGGACGGGUGAGUAAUGUCUGGGAAACUGCCUGAUGGAGGGGGAUAACUACUGGAAACGGUAGCUAAUACCGCAUAACGUCGCAAGACCAAAGAGGGGGACCUUCGGGCCUCUUGCCAUCGGAUGUGCCCAGAUGGGAUUAGCUAGUAGGUGGGGUAACGGCUCACCUAGGCGACGAUCCCUAGCUGGUCUGAGAGGAUGACCAGCCACACUGGAACUGAGACACGGUCCAGACUCCUACGGGAGGCAGCAGUGGGGAAUAUUGCACAAUGGGCGCAAGCCUGAUGCAGCCAUGCCGCGUGUAUGAAGAAGGCCUUCGGGUUGUAAAGUACUUUCAGCGGGGAGGAAGGGAGUAAAGUUAAUACCUUUGCUCAUUGACGUUACCCGCAGAAGAAGCACCGGCUAACUCCGUGCCAGCAGCCGCGGUAAUACGGAGGGUGCAAGCGUUAAUCGGAAUUACUGGGCGUAAAGCGCACGCAGGCGGUUUGUUAAGUCAGAUGUGAAAUCCCC
rnacentral:rRNA from 1 species